UACAUAGGUCGCAAACGUUAUCCGGAAUUAUUGGGCGUAAAGGAUGCGUAGAUGGUUCAGUAAGUUACUGGUGGGAAAUCGAGGCCCAACCUCGUGGAAGUUAGUAAUACUGUUGAACUUGAGUGCAGGAGAGGUUAACGGAACUUCAUGUGGAGCGGUAAAAUGCGUAGAUAUAUGAAAGAACAUCAAUAUAGCGAAGGCAGUUAACUAUUCUGCUACUGACAUUGAGGCAUGAAAGCGUGGGGAGCAAAACGG
rnacentral:rRNA from 1 species